AGGACGAACGUUGGCGGCGUGCCUUACACAUGCAAGUCGUACGCGAAAGGGGAAUCCAGCUUGCUGGGGACCCCCGGUAGAGUGGCGAACGGGAGCGUAACACGUGAGGAACCUGCCUCGGAGUGGGGAAUAACCCAGAGAAAUCUGGGCUAAUUCCGCAUGAUGCAGCGGCCCCGCAUGAGGACAGUUGUUAAAGACCGCCUCUGCUUGCAAGCGGUUGCUUCGAGAUGGUCUCGCGGCCUAUCAGCUAGUUGGCGGGGUAAUGGCCCACCAAGGCGACGACGGGUAGCCGGCCUGAGAGGGUGUCCGGCCUCAUUGGGACUGAGACACGGCCCAGACUCCUACGGGAGCAGCAGUGA
rnacentral:rRNA from 1 species